rnacentral:rRNA from 1 species
AAUUUGAUCAUGGCUCAGAGUCAACGCUGGUGAGUAGGCCUAACACAUGCAAGUUGAACGGCAGCACAGAGGAGCUUGCUCCUUGGGUGGCGAGUGGCGGACGGGUGAGGAAUACAUCGGAAUCUACUCUGUCGUGGGGGAUAACGUAGGGAAACUUACGCUAAUACCGCAUACGACCUACGGGUGAAAGCAGGGUGAUCUUCGGACCUUGCGCGAUUGAAUGAGCCGAUGUCGGAUUAGCUAGUUGGCGGGGUAAAGGCCCACCAAGGCGACGAUCCGUAGCUGGUCUGAGAGGAUGAUCAGCCACACUGGAACUGAGACACGGUCCAGACUCCUACGGGAGGCAGCAGUGGGGAAUAUUGGACAAUGGGCGCAAGCCUGAUCCAGCCAUACCGCGUGGGUGAAGAAGGCCUUCGGGUUGUAAAGCCCUUUUGUUGGGAAAGAAAUCCAGCUGGCUAAUACCCGGUUGGGAUGACGGUACCCAAAGAAUAAGCACCGGCUAACUUCGUGCCAGCAGCCGCAGUAAUACGAAGGGUGCAAGCGUUUACUCGGAAUUACUUGGGCGUAAAGCGUGCGNU